GUAAAUGUUCUCUCCAGAAAUUGCCUGCCCGUUGCAGCUAAUCGAACACACACCACACACAUACACAGCACACACUUCUGGUACACUUUCUGAGCCCUAAUACACACACACGCACACCACACACAGACAGACAGACAGACACACACACACACACACAUACACACACUCACACACAGCCUACGGGUGGGUUGGAUCUUGGAUUUUGCCAGUUCUACUAGGAAAUACCCAGGGACACAGCGAAGGAGUGUUUCCUCCCCGACAGUCAACUCUGCCUUCUUUUCCCCAGCUUCUCUGGAAGAGAAUGCGUCCCGCCCUCCAGAUCACUUGGACUCUUCUCUGUAUUAUGUUUGCCCCUCCGGCUCCAUCUCAACGGUGAAAACCAGAUCAUGGGAGAGAGACAGCAAGCGGCUGGCUCCGGACUCUGAGCAUUUUGCUGAGAGACCACAUGCCCGGGCUUCCAAUUUGGUGGCCCGCUGCUCCCUGCCCCUCCUCGUCUUUGAGAAGCAAAUCGCCAGCACCAGGGAGUGUAUGCAACUUCUGCUGACCCGAGAUCAGAUGAUGAAGCCCAGAGAAGAGAACGAAAUGAAGGGAUGGUUGCUGUUGGGGAACAAUUCAGAUAGGUAGUGUUGGACGAGAUGACAAUCUUGAAUGUCAUAAUGAAGAUCUUCAGUUAAAUGAGUAAUGGGCAGCUUAAGAAAGAAUAAAUUAUUAC
rnacentral:lncRNA from 1 species